rnacentral:rRNA from 1 species
CUACGGGCGGCAGCAGUGGGGAAUAUUGGGCAAUGGGCGCAAGCCUGACCCAGCUAUGCCGCGUGAAUGAUGAAGGCCUUAGGGUUGUAAAGUUCUUUUAGAUGGGACGAUAAUGACGGUACCAUCAGAAAAAGCUCCGGCUAACUUCGUGCCAGCAGCCGCGGUAAUACGAAGGGAGCAAGCGUUGCUCGGAUUUAUUGGGCGUAAAGGGUGUGUAGGCGGUUUUGUAAGUUAGAUGUGAAAGCCCCGGGCUUAACCCGGGAACUGCAUUUAAGACUGCAUUACUUGAAGUUCGAAGAGGUUAGCAGAAUUCCCAGUGUAGAGGUGAUAUUCGUAGAUAUUGGGAAGAAUACCAAUGGCGUAGGCAGCUAACUGGUCGAUACUUGACGCUGAGGCACGAAAGCGUGGGGAGCAAACAGGAUUAGAUACCCCAGUAGUC